GGGGAGUAUUGAUAAGUUCAUAAGAGGCAGAAGAAGACACGUGCAAGUGAGGAGGCACGUGUGAAGGAAGCUAACUUCAAGAAAAAUAUAUUUUUAGUUCUCAAAAAUAUCUGCAACAAACUUGUUUACAACUUUUGGGGUUUAAAUACUGAUCUAAUUGUUUAGAGAUCUUUUAUGCUGAUUGAUGUAGAAGCUUCUCCUGCGUGAGAAUGGUGGACGAUGAGCUAACAAAGAUGAUGUGUUAGCCGUCUCCUUUGGUUUGGCGAUAAGUAAUCUGAGUUUGGUGGCUUGAUACUUAUCAUUGACCCUGAUUAUAACCACAACAACGAAAGGUGAGUAAAGCAGCUGUUAGUUUCCUUGCAAAAGUAUACUAGCAAAUGGCAACAGUCAGUUUCACACAUG